UACGUAGGGCGCAAGCGUGUCCGGAAUUAUUGGGCGUAAAGAGCUCGUAGGCGGCUUGUCACGUCGGGUGUGAAAGCCCGGGGCUUAACCCCGGGUCUGCAUUCGAUACGGGCUGGCUGGAGUGUGGUAGGGGAGAUCGGAAUUCCUGGUGUAGCGGUGAAAUGCGCAGAUAUCAGGAGGAACACCGGUGGCGAAGGCGGAUCUCUGGGCCAUUACUGACGUGAGGAGCGAAAGCGUGGGGAGCGAACAGG
rnacentral:rRNA from 1 species